rnacentral:rRNA from 1 species
UACGAAGGGGGCUAGCGUUGUUCGGAAUUACUGGGCGUAAAGCGCACGUAGGCGGAUAUUUAAGUCAGGGGUGAAAUCCCGGGGCUCAACCCCGGAACUGCCUUUGAUACCGGAUAUCUUGAGUUCGGAAGAGGUAAGUGGAAUUGCGAGUGUAGAGGUGAAAUUCGUAGAUAUUCGCAGGAACACCAGUGGCGAAGGCGGCUUACUGGUCCGAUACUGACGCUGAGGUGCGAAAGCGUGGGGAGCAAACAGG